AGGCAUUUCAAAGAGGACUUGCAGGAAUGUGAAACCAGGAGCUCUUAACACCAGUGACCUAAGACUGAAUUUCCCCACAGAAUGCCAUGGUCACUCAAUAGUGCUGUGUGUUCCUGAGGAGAUGGAGCC
ensembl:snoRNA